CAUCGCACGUAGGCUACGGCCAAUCAGGCGUUGGAUUUCUUGAGUACGACCAGUUUGUUUACCACGAGCAGCUUCACGGUCACAACGUGAGUGUGUUGA
rnacentral:tRNA from 5 species